AAAGAUUAAGCCAUGCAUGUCUAAGUAUAAGCAAUUAUACAGCGAAACUGCGAAUGGCUCAUUAUAUAAGUUAUCGUUUAUUUGAUAGUACCUUACUACUUGGAUAACCGUGGUAAUUCUAGAGCUAAUACAUGCUAAAAAUCCCGACUCCGGAAGGGAUGUAUUUAUUAGAUUAAAAACCAAUGCCCUCUGGGCUCUCUGGUGAUUCAUGAUAACUUCUCGAAUCGCAUGGCCUUGCGCCGGCGAUGGUUCAUUCAAAUUUCUUCCCUAUCAACUUUCGAUGUUUGGGUAGUGGCCAAACAUGGUUGCAACGGGUAACGGAGGGUUAGGGCUCGACCCCGGAGAAGGAGCCUGAGAAACGGCUACUACAUCCAAGGAAGGCAGCAGGCGCGCAAAUUACCCAAUCCCGACACGGGGAGGUAGUGACAAUAAAUACUGAUACAGGGCUCUUUUGGGUCUUGUAAUUGGAAUGAGUACAAUUUAAAUCCCUUAACGAGGAACAAUUGGAGGGCAAGUCUGGUGAACGUCGCUGGCGCCAGAAAUAGUCGCCCCUCGGUAAACAAGAGACUAGUCGAGCGCUCGUGCGUGACGGGUGAGCGCCGGCGAGACAACCUGGAUCGGGGAAGGCUAAGGGCCCUCGUGCCUACGCUGAUCCCGAGCAGAGCCGAUCCGGCCUGUGUAGAGCGCGCCAAGGUGUCGGUCCUGAGAUCUCAGGGCUUAAGGUACGUGCCAAUCCCCCGUGAAAACGGGGCCCUGCGGAGUAGCACCCGUCGUGCGAAGCCGCAGGGAGCCCCCCCCGGACGGGGGGGCGUACAUCACAGGGCCAGCAGCCGCGGUAAUUCCAGCUCCAAUAGCGUAUAUUAAAGUUGUUGUGGUUAAAAAGCUCGUAGUUGAACCUUGGGCCUGGCUGGCCGGUCCGCCUCACCGCGUGUACUGGUCCGGCCGGGCCUUUCCCUCUGUGGAACCCCAUGCCCUUCACUGGGUGUGGCGGGGAAACAGGACUUUUACUUUGAAAAAAUUAGAGUGCUCCAGGCAGGCCUAUGCUCGAAUACAUUAGCAUGGAAUAAUGAAAUAGGACGUGCGGUUCUAUUUUGUUGGUUUCUAGGACCGCCGUAAUGAUUAAUAGGGACAGUCGGGGGCAUCAGUAUUCAAUUGUCAGAGGUGAAAUUCUUGGAUUUAUUGAAGACUAACUACUGCGAAAGCAUUUGCCAAGGAUGUUUUCAUUAAUCAGGAACGAAAGUUAGGGGAUCGAAGACGAUCAGAUACCGUCGUAGUCUUAACCAUAAACUAUGCCGACUAGGGAUCGGACGAUGUUAUUUUUUGACUCGUUCGGCACCUUACGAGAAAUCAAAGUGCUUGGGCUCCAGGGGGAGUAUGGUCGCAAGGCUGAAACUUAAAGAAAUUGACGGAAGGGCACCACCAGGGGUAAACCGCAGUUGCUCUGCCCCUAAAAGCAGCCGGGAAACCGGUCACGCGGGUCCUGGCCGGAAGGCCGAAGAAUGCUAGUCGCCCCCCGGGGCGGCGACACCCUCAAAUUGCGGGAAGUCCCUAAAGCCAACUGAGACCAAGCGGGCGCCCGAAAGGGCCCCGUGGCCGAGCUAGCAGCCCUGGGUACGGUAAAACGGCAGUUGGAUGGAACAAUGGGUGAUCCGCAGCCAAGCCCCUAACCGGCAGCCGCGCAAGCGCUGCCGCACGGGGAAGGUUCAGAGACUUGACGGGGGUGGGUUCAGCCCGCGAGCGCGCUGUGCUUAAGAUAAAGUCCGUCUAUACGCCAAAGCGUAAUAGAGCCCGAUAAAACGGGAGCCUGCGGCUUAAUUUGACUCAACACGGGGAAACUCACCAGGUUAAUCUGGGCCUGGAAAAGUGACGGCUUCGUAGGGAGCCCUUGCUAGUAUCAAACUUCAUCCGCGUGGGGAAGCCCCCAAAGUCGGGCGUGGAGCGGCCUCGUGCCGUUGUUUGAUGCGACACCAGCUGGAACAGGGGACGCCCAACUGCAAGCGAUUGCAGCGGCCAAUCCUGUGGCGAGCUCAGGUAGCGCUGAGCCGUCGCAACGCGCGCAAAGCGGUGGGCCUCCUUCGCGGGAGGCUUAAGGUACGUGCUAAUCCCACAGGGAACUGUGGCUUCACCGAAUAGGCCCGGCAGCCGAAGCGGUGAGGGCGGGCGGCCGUCGAGGUCGCCUGCGUGUGCGGUUACGGCGGCGCUGAUGAACGAAGCGCCGCCGUGGCCGCGUUGCCAGACACAAUGAGGAUUGACAGAUUGAGAGCUCUUUCUUGAUUUUGUGGGUGGUGGUGCAUGGCCGUUCUUAGUUGGUGGAGUGAUUUGUCUGCUUAAUUGCGAUAACGAACGAGACCUUAACCUGCUAAAUAGCCCGUAUUGCUUUGGCAGUACGCCGGCUUCUUAGAGGGACUAUCGGCUCAAGCCGAUGGAAGUUUGAGGCAAUAACAGGUUGACCAUUACAGGCCUGUAACAGUGGGCCUCACUAAAGAUUACCGCUAGUCCAGCGACUUUACCUCCGCGGGGAAGCCCCCAUUAUCGGGCGGAGGGGGCCCUGAAGAAAGGGCCCUGUCGCGGGCGACACCACCUGGAACAGGGAACGCCUGAACCCUUGGUUGGGGGACGGCCGAUCCUGUGGCGAGCCUGGGUUGCGCCAGGCCGUUGCAACGCGCGCAAAGGGGUGGGCCUUCACCGAAGGCUUAAGGUACGUGCUAAUCCCGUGGGCAACCACGCCUCUGCGACUAGGCCCGAUAAGCCGAAGUGCAGGGGAGCCACGGGCGCUGCGGCGCCCGGGGCUGGGGCCUCCGCGGCGCUCUCGCGGGGGCCAUCUGCUGUGAUGCCCUUAGAUGUUCUGGGCCGCACGCGCGCUACACUGACGGAGCCAGCGAGUACUCCCUUGGCCGGAAGGCCCGGGUAAUCUUGUUAAACUCCGUCGUGCUGGGGAUAGAGCAUUGCAAUUAUUGC
rnacentral:rRNA from 1 species